rnacentral:rRNA from 1 species
ACACAUGCAAGUCGUACGGAAAAGCAAUUUUUAUUGGCAAACGGGUGAGUAACGCGUGGGAAUUCGACUUUGCGAAGAGGAUAACAACUGGAAACAGUUGCUAAAACUCUAUAUGCCGUUUACCGUGAAAAAAGUAAUUUGCCUAAAGAGAAGCCCGCGUCUGAUUAGCUAGUUGGUGGGGUAAAGGCCUACCAAGGCGACGAUCACUCACUGGUCUGACAAGACGAUCAUCCACACUGGAACUGACACACCGUCCUGACUCCUACGGGAGGCCCCAAUGCCGAAUUUUCUGCAAUGGGCGAAAGCCUGACCAAUGAAUACCGCGUGAGGGAUGAAGGGCUACGGGUUGUAAACCUCUUUUCUCAAGGAGGACCAUCUGACGUUACUUGAGGAAUAAGCAUCGGCUAACCCUGUGCCAGCGGCCGCGCCAAUACAGGGGAUGCCAGUGUUAUCCGGAAUUAUUGCGCGUAAAGCGUCUGCGGGGUGAUAUUUAAGUCUUUUGUUAAACCUCCGGGCUUGCCCCGGAAUCUGCAAAGGAAAACUAUUUAUCUUGAGUAUGGUCAGGCGUAAAGGUAAUUCCCAGUGUGUCGGUGAAAUGCGUAGAUAUUGGAGAUAACACAACAGCGAAGGCACUUUACUGGG